GCCGCAUCCCCGCCGCCUCCUCCUGCAGUCGCUCGUCCCUCCUCCUCCACCCAACCCCUAACCCUAGCAGCUCCCGCCGCCGCCGCCGUCUACUUCGCCCAGCCCUGCACACGGCAAGAGGAGCGCCCCUACCCUCUCCUCUCCUCCUCCCCUCAUCACGAGCCAGGACAGGGAGGGCCACCUUGGCCGGGCAGGUCAGGCGGCGCGUCCAGAUCACCGAGGAGCCACCCGCAAGGUCGGCCAUGGUGCAACCGAGCAGAGCAGGUACUACGCUUGUCGUGGAUUGCUGCCUCACGUGUACGCAAAGCACAUCUUGGGUGUUUAGGGAGUUGUACAGGAACAACCUCAAUGGCGAGAUCCCAAAAGAAUUGGGCAAACGGAAGAAAUUGAUCGGUUUGGAUUUGUAUGCCGAUAAUCACCGGAAGAAUCCCCAAGUCACUUUCCAAGCUCAGCUCACUAAUAUUGAUGUAUAUAUUAUCCUCUGAUUGCAGUUAAUUCCUCCAUAGUACAAAUGCCCAUUCUAAAAAAACUAGAGUACUAAUUGAUGGCAUCUUAGUCCAAGUGAUGUACCCAAAAUGGCUGGGUAGUCGUGCCCAUAAUUCAGAUCAUACUGAAAUGCAAUUUAAAAAGUUUGUUAAAAGGAUGUAGAUUCAUGCACCUCCGGGAAGAGGACGACCCGCGGUGAGCAGCCUCUGAUCCGCCGUGCGAAGUUAGCUAGCGGGGGUCGGGUCCCAAGGGGUAGAGAUGCAGUUCUCUGGAGCUACUGGGAAGAAGAAGAUAUGUACUGAUUUCGUCUCGACUCGGUGCAACGACUCCAUGAUUGAUUCGAUCCAAUUUUCCGAGCCCAGACCAAAAUAUUUGUUGAACAACUUGCCUCAAGUAUAUUGGGACCCUUUGUGAUCUAUAUCAGAUCUGCAAUGGGCUGAAGAACGAGGCAGUCCUUGGAAGCAGCACAUACAUGUGAUGCCCCUCUCACUCUGGUUCCAAGAUGGAGUUCAAUCUUGUGUCCCUGCUUCGUCAGGGAAAUACCAUUUGGCGUAUCCGUGUGUAUGUCUCACGACUAUGGCAGCACCGUGGUGGGACUAAUAAUGAACCCAUUACGGAUACAUACCGCCAGGGGUAACCACAUAUACGCUGAGGUGCUAGAAAUAAUAUCAACAGCUUCAUGGAAUGUAUUGAAGAAGGUGAUGUCAUCAUGACUCCAGCAACUCCACUUACGCAUCUAGCAAUCUUGCAGGGAAUAGUUCUAAACCAUCGGCUUCAGUUGGCAUGUUACCUGAGGGUCGUACUUCCCAUUACAGGCCGGCGAGAUGGCAGAUUCGGUUAGUGAGAAGAUCGUCCAAAAGAACAUCAUCGAGAAAGACGAGCUAAUGCAAAGAGGUUUGAACCAUUUGUUCCUGUUAUUGCCCCAGUGAGUGCGGGCAAGAAAGGCAGGAAGAAGUGAUCCCUUCUGUUAGCUUCUCGUGGCCAGGGUCGCAAUGUACGUGGAGGUGUUCAAUAGAGGGGACAUUUUGCCGCCCUACAGCAUCAGGAAGAGGAACAGCAGGACCGGGCUGCGCUUCACCUAUAAUGAUGGCAUCUGCCUGAACUCAGUUAACCUGAACUCCAUAACUGAAGCUAUGUUUAUUCUGUGCCUUUGAAGAUGUAUAGUGGUGGUGGAGACGAACUGAUCUUCCUGUUCGUACUCCUACAUUGCAUAUCUGAAUUUGGCCAAGAAUGGACCCCAAUGCUUCUCUUGCCUUAGAGGCAUGGUGACCUGCUCUGCCUCCCCCUAAUUUCUA